rnacentral:rRNA from 1 species
CGGACGGGUGAGUAACACGUGGGUAACCUGCCUAUAAGACUGGGAUAACAUUCGGAAACGAAUGCUAAUACCGGAUACGCGAUUUGGUCGCAUGACCGAAUCGGGAAAGAUGGAGCAAUCUAUCACUUAUAGAUGGACCCGCGGCGCAUUAGCUAGUUGGUGAGGUAACGGCUCACCAAGGCGACGAUGCGUAGCCGACCUGAGAGGGUGAUCGGCCACACUGGGACUGAGACACGGCCCAGACUCCUACGGGAGGCAGCAGUAGGGAAUCUUCCGCAAUGGACGAAAGUCUGACGGAGCAACGCCGCGUGAGUGAUGAAGGUUUUCGGAUCGUAAAGCUCUGUUGCCAGGGAAGAAUGCUUGGGAGAGUAACUGCUCCC